GAUGCUCACUAGGUGUUGGGGAAGCGAUUCCUUGGUACCGAAGCUAACGCGUGAAGUGAGCCGCCUGGGGAGUACGGCCGCAAGGUUAAAACUCAAAGGAAUUGACGGGGACCCGCACAAGCGGUGGAUGAUGUGGAUUAAUUCGAUGCAACGCGAACAACCUUACCUACCCUUGACAUGUCUGGAAGGCUUCCGAGAGGAGGCUGUGCCUGANNNGGAACCGGAACACAGGUGCUGCAUGGCUGUCGUCAGCUCGUGUCGUGAGAUGUUGGGUUAAGUCCCGCAACGAGCGCAACCCUUGUCCCUAGUUGCUACGCAAGGGCACUCUAGGGAGACUGCCGGUGACAAACCGGAGGAAGGUGGGGAUGACGUCAAGUCCUCAUGGCCCUUAUGGGUAGGGCUUCACACGUCAUACAAUGGACGGUACAGAGGGUCGCCAACCCGCGAGGGGGAGCCAAUCCCAAAAAGCCGUUCGUAGUCCGGAUCGGAGUCUGCAACUCGACUCCGUGAAGUCGGAAUCGCUAGUAAUCGCAGAUCAGCAUUGCCGCGGUGAAUACGUUCCCGGGCCUUGUACACACCGCCCGUCACACCAUGGGAGUUGACUGCACCAGAAGUAGGUAGCNUANC
rnacentral:rRNA from 1 species